GCCCUAGAUCGCCCAACGGCCGCUAGUUCGUGAGAAUUUAUGAGUUUAAGUCCCGAAAAGUGAACAAUGAAAAAGAUAAAAAGAAAGCAAGAGAGAAUCCAUCACUUUUAUAUUCAAAUAGUGAGUGAGAUUUUGAAGAUUUUAAAGUUAUAAUAAUCUUUGGCGGGAGCCAUAGUUCGUCGAUUGCAACAACAAAGCGACUAUACAAUAUUGGGGAGAAGAUCUUUUUAAGAAGUUAAAAAGUCUGCAGAUUUGUGGAAUGAGAGCAUAUAAGUGACAAAUUAAGACAAGAUGUUGAUCAAGCUAAGGUGCGGUUGAAGACCGUGGAAGGAGAGAAAGAGGAAGACUAUGCAGCUUUGGACUCAAACAAGAUGGUGUCACAAAAAUUGUGUAUUAUGACUAUGUUGAAAUAGAAAAAUACAAUUAUUAUUCAACUUUUUUUUGGAUCAAGUACAAUUAUCUGUAACUUGAAAGUGUUUUGGAAUAAAAAAAAAUGAAUUCUUUUAUAAAAUUCUUG